GUCCACGCCCUAAACGAUGGAUACUAAGUGUCGGAGGUAUUGAGCCCUCCGGUGCCGCAGCUAACGCAUUAAGUAUCCCGCCUGGGGAGUACGGCCGCAAGGUUGAAACUCAAAGGAAUUGACGGGGGCCCGCACAAGCGGUGGAGCAUGUGGUUCAAUUCGACGCAACGCGAAGAACCUUACCUGGGCUUGACAUACUGGUAGUAGAAACCUGAAAGGGCAACGAUCCCCGCAAGGGGAAGCCAGAACAGGUGCUGCAUGGCUGUCGU
rnacentral:rRNA from 1 species